UACAGGGGGGGCAAGCGUUGUUCGGAAUUACUGGGCGUAAAGGGCUCGUAGGUGGCCAACUAAGUCAGACGUGAAAUCCCUCAGCUUAACUGGGGAACUGCGUCUGAUACUGGAUGGCUUGAGUUUGGGAGAGGGAUGCGGAAUUCCAGGUGUAGCGGUGAAAUGCGUAGAUAUCUGGAGGAACACCGGUGGCGAAGGCGGGUCUCUGGGCCGAAACUGACGCUGAGGAGCGAAAGCGUGGGGAGCGAACAGG
rnacentral:rRNA from 1 species